rnacentral:rRNA from 1 species
UGGCUCAGAUUGAACGCUGGCGGCAGGCCUAACACAUGCAAGUCGAGCGGUAGCACAGGAGAGCUUGCUCUCUGGGUGACGAGCGGCGGACGGGUGAGUAAUGUCUGGGAAACUGCCCGAUGGAGGGGGAUAACUACUGGAAACGGUAGCUAAUACCGCAUAACGUCUUCGGACCAAAGAGGGGGACCUUCGGGCCUCUUGCCAUCGGAUGUGCCCAGAUGGGAUUAGCUAGUAGGUGGGGUAAUGGCUCACCUAGGCGACGAUCCCUAGCUGGUCUGAGAGGAUGACCAGCCACACUGGAACUGAGACACGGUCCAGACUCCUACGGGAGGCAGCAGUGGGGAAUAUUGCACAAUGGGCGCAAGCCUGAUGCAGCCAUGCCGCGUGUAUGAAGAAGGCCUUCGGGUUGUAAAGUACUUUCAGCGAGGAGGAAGGCGUUGCGGUUAAUAACCGCAGCGAUUGACGUUACUCGCAGAAGAAGCACCGGCUAACUCCGUGCCAGCAGCCGCGGUAAUACGGAGGGUGCAAGCGUUAAUCGGAAUUACUGGGCGUAAAGCGCACGCAGGCGGUCUGUCAAGUCGGAUGUGAAAUCCCCGGGCUCAACCUGGGAACUGCAUUCGAAACUGGCAGGCUAGAGUCUUGUAGAGGGGGGUAGAAUUCCAGGUGUAGCGGUGAAAUGCGUAGAGAUCUGGAGGAAUACCGGUGGCGAAGGCGGCCCCCUGGACAAAGACUGACG